GAUAGCCAUAUUGUGUACUUUCUCAUAUAGAUUUGUUGAAAGCUGCGAUAGGGACGUACGUUCAGUGUUCAGAGAGCGUUUCGAGAGGAACGUUGUCGCGAUUUGUUUGCGUGCGGAAUUUUCGCAAACCCCUACAUGUGAUUUAUUAAAAAAAAACUAGUGAUGUCCCUUGAGGGUGAUUUUAGGACAGAUACGUCCGUAAUGAGGGUCCGGGCUCGUUAUAAUGGUUGGAUUGUGUAAAAAAAUCGCGUUCGAAUAUCAAAACAAAGUCAGUACGUUUGAUUUGUUGGAGAUUUUGUGCGUAUGUAUUUAUAUUGUAAAUAUUUGAGUCGCGUUUAAUUGAUGUCGUUGCUUGAGUGAAACGUUUUGGAAAAAAAAAACAAAGUGUAGUGAUGUGUUUGUUUGGUGGAUUUGAAUUUUGAAUUUGGAACUAUUGAUACUGAUGAUGACGUGUUUAAUGCCAACAUGAGGAUUUGAGGUCACCAACAUGACUGCAACUAAAACAGAAAUGGUGCACGCGGGCAGCAGCUUCCAGUGGGACAAGCUGUCGCCCGCAGAGUUCCAGCAGUUGCAGGAGUUGACCUCAUGUGAGUACACACUUAUUAUCUGUUAUAGACAGAAAUGGUGCACGCGGGCAGCAGCUUCCAGUGGGACA